CCUACGGGUGGCAGCAGUGAGGAAUAUUGGUCAAUGGCCGCAGGGCUGAACCAGCCAAGUCGCGUGAGGGAUGACGGUCCUAUGGAUUGUAAACCGCUUUUGUCAGGGAGCAAAGGGCGCCACGUGUGUCGUUUUGCGAGUACCUGAAGAAAAAGCAUCGGCUAACUCCGUGCCAGCAGCCGCGGUAAUACGGAGGAUGCGAGCGUUAUCAGGAUUUAUUUGGGUUAAAGGGUGCGCAGUCGGAAGGUCAGGUCAGCGGUAAAAUUUCGGGGCUAAACUCCGUCGUGCCGUUGAAACUGGCGUUCUUGAGUGAGCGAGAGGUAUGCGGAAUGCGUGGUGUAGCGGUGAAAUGCUUAGAUAUCACGCAGAACUCCGAUUGCGAAGGCAGCAUACCGGCGCUCAACUGACGCUCAUGCACGAAAGCGUGGGUAUCGAACAGGAUUAGAUACCCUAGUAGUC
rnacentral:rRNA from 1 species